GGAUAGUGUCUGGAAACGGACAGUAAUACCGUAUAACGUAUUUUUACCGCAUGAUAGAAAUACCAAAACUGAGGUGCCGAAGGAUGGGCUCGCGUCUGAUUAGAUAGUUGGUGGGGUAACGGCCUACCAAGUCGACGAUCAGUAGCCGGACUGAGAGGUUGAACGGCCACAUUGGGACUGAGACACGGCCCAGACUCCUACGGGAGGCAGCAGUGGGGAAUAUUGCACAAUGGGGGAAACCCUGAUGCAGCAACGCCGCGUGAAGGAAGACGGUUUUCGGAUUGUAAACUUCUGUUCUUAGUGAAGAAUAAUGACGGUAGCUAAGGAGCAAGCCACGGCUAACUACGUGCCAGCAGCCGCGGUAAUACGUAGGUGGCAAGCGCUGUCCGGAAUUACUGGGUGUAAAGGGAGCGUAGGCGGGAUGCCAAGUCAGCUGUGAAAACUAUGGGCUUAACCUGUAUACUGCAGUUGAAACUGGUAUUCUUGAGUGAAGUAGAGGUUGGCGGAACUCCGAGUGUAGCGGUGAAAUGCGUAGAUGUUCGGAGGAACACCGGUGGCGAAUGCGGCCAACUGGGCUUUAACUGACGCUGAGGCUCGAAAGUGUGGGGAGCAAACAGGAUUAGAUACCCUGGU
rnacentral:rRNA from 2 species